AGGAUUUUAGAUAUCUAUAGGAGCUCUUUGAGUCCAGAUAUGGUCGAAGCGCUUAUAUGUACUCAAAACUGGUUGAAGCCUUCUGACAAUGAUCUAAAUGUCCUUAAUAUGACUGAAGAAUAUGAGAUUAGUGAAUCAAUUGUUUCAGAGUUUCAAGUAGCUACUGGUGGAGCAGCUGCUCCUACACAGGCUGGGCCUGUUUAAUUCUCGCCUAGCUGUGAAUUUUUGAAUAUUUUGGAGUCACUUUGUGAUUCAAUAAGACAAGCCUUUCUUUUUUGGAGUCAUUUUUUGAAACUAAGGAUGGAACCGUUUCAGUAGCUACUGCGUUUGCUGGUCAUCAGGAAGAUUGUUGUUAUUUCAUAUUGCUGUUGUUAUGAGAAUCAUGACUCAGAAACUUUUUGGGCAGACUUUUUGGGCAGCCACUGCUGCUAGUUUCAUAACAAUUCAGUGUUCGAAAUGUUACAUUUUUUUGACUUGGGGAUUAACAAAUCUAUAUUCAUUAAGCCCAAGACAUUUCACCUUACAGUACUAAUGCUUAAGCUGUGGAAUAAAGACAGAGUGGGGCAUAUCAAGAGGAGACUGAAUAGCUCAAGCUUCUUGCUGAAUGGAAGAGAAAGAAAGGUGGAUUCAGAGCUACCAUGUUUGUUUUUGGAAACUUGGUGGCGGCUCAAGUUGCGACAGAAAUCGGUUGGAGCGAGUUUGCGAUUUCAAUGUUUUCACUAGGAAUGGUACAUUAUUUGCAGGCCAGGACUGUUCAAGAAAACUAUAAAAAGAAAGCUGCAAUAAAGAAGAUGGACAUGAAAGCAUCAAAAGAAUUUUUUGCCGAGCUUAAGGUGUUAACGCGUGUUCAUCACUUGAACUUGGUAAGGUUGAUUGGAUAUUGCAUUGAAGGUUGAUUGGAUAUUGCAUUGCCGGAAUGGACUUGUCUCUUACAAUAUUGAAAAAUGCACACACUGCUAGAGAACUAAAAUGCACGCCAAAAUUGGACUAUACUUUUGAAUUAGUAACUCCUGCAACUGCACAGCCUUGGUUUUUCACAAGUCUCACCGAUGUAUUGGACGUUGAUUCACAUGUAAUCUUUUCCAUCGAUCUUUUGUAUUUACUUUAAUCCACUUAAUCUAUU